UACGUAGGGGGCUAGCGUUGUCCGGAUUUAUUGGGCGUAAAGAGCGUGUAGGCGGCCAGGUAGGUCUGCCGUGAAAACUCGAGGCUCAACCUCGAGACGUCGGCGGAAACCAUCUGGCUAGAGUCCGGAAGAGGAGAGUGGAAUUCCUGGUGUAGCGGUGAAAUGCGCAGAUAUCAGGAAGAACACCCGUGGCUAAGGCGGCUCUCUAGUACGGUACUGACGCUGAGACGCGAAAGCGUGGGGAGCGAACAGG
rnacentral:rRNA from 1 species